UCCUCAUGUCCUCCUAUCCUCAUGAAAGAUCCCCGAAGGGAGACCCUCACUCAAGUCUUGGGAAGUCGCGGACCCCAGACACACGAGAGACC
rnacentral:pre_miRNA from 14 species